rnacentral:rRNA from 1 species
AACGCUGGCGGCAUGCCUUACACAUGCAAGUCGAACGGCAGCACGGGAGCAAUCCUGGUGGCGAGUGGCGAACGGGUGAGUAAUAUAUCGGAACGUGCCCAGUCGUGGGGGAUAACGCAGCGAAAGCUGUGCUAAUACCGCAUACGAUCCAUGGAUGAAAGCGGGGGAUCGCAAGACCUCGCGCGAUUGGAGCGGCCGAUAUCAGAUUAGCUAGUUGGUGAGGUAAAGGCUCACCAAGGCGACGAUCUGUAGCUGGUCUGAGAGGACGACCAGCCACACUGGAACUGAGACACGGUCCAGACUCCUACGGGAGGCAGCAGUGGGGAAUUUUGGACAAUGGGCGCAAGCCUGAUCCAGCAAUGCCGCGUGCAGGAUGAAGGCCUUCGGGUUGUAAACUGCUUUUGUACGGAGCGAAAAGGCUCUCUCUAAUACAGGGGGCAUAUGACGGUACCGUAAGAAUAAGCACCGGCUAACUACGUG